AGUGAACGCUGGCGGUAGGCCUAACACAUGCAAGUCGAACGGCAGCACAGGAGAGCUUGCUCUCUGGGUGGCGAGUGGCGGACGGGUGAGGAAUACAUCGGAAUCUACUCUGUCGUGGGGGAAUACGUAGGGAAACUUACGCUAAUACCGCAUACGACCUACGGGUGAAAGCAGGGGAUCUUCGGACCUUGCGCGAUUGACUGAGCCGAUGUCGGAUGAGCUAGUUGGCGGGGUAAAGGCCCACCAAGGCGACGAUCCGUAGCUGGUCUGAGAGGAUGAUCAGCCACACUGGAACUGAGACACGGUCCAGACUCCUACGGGAGGCAGCAGUGGGGAAUAUUGGACAAUGGGCGCAAGCCUGAUCCAGCCAUACCGCGUGGGUGAAGAAGGCCUUCGGGUUGUAAAGCCCUUUUGUUGGGAAAGAAAUCCAGCUGGCUAAUACCCGGUUGGGAUGACGGUACCCAAAGAAUAAGCACCGGCUAACUUCGUGCCAGCCGCCGCAGUAA
rnacentral:rRNA from 1 species